AGUUGUGAAAGAUUUCACCACUAGCUUCGAGCGUGAACGUGUAGAACAGUUACAGGCGCAAGCACAGUCAGAAUUUGUAGUUUAAGAAGGAGACUUUGUAGGGUGCCAGGAGACCUGAGAACGAUAUAAGCAUGGCACUGGUGGUGAAACUCUGGCUGCCACUGUUGGCAACGUUUUUUGCUUGUGCGAUCGCUCGUCCGCAGGUAUUCCCCGGCUUCGCCGUGCACGCUGCCUGCGGCAACAUGUGCGACAAAUUCCAGUGUCCAGUGAACUCCGGGUGUCGGGUGGACGCCUCCAGAUGCAUCCCUAUGCCCGGGAGACCAGGCAUCUGCUGCCCGCCGGCGGUUUGCGAUCCCAGGAGCGACUACAUGUCCAAGCGCCUGUGACACCACUACCCCUGUACACAUUCUUGACAGGCAUUUGACGGUGACAUUACCAGUGCUAUUGUUUUUCGAUUCUUCACUAUACACCUUCCGUACGCAGCCUUUUCGUCUCAAAGAGUUCAAAAUUGUUCACUAGAGAAUUUUUUAAUAUUUAGAUGUUAGUGUAAACAUUUACAUAACUGUUUUUGUUUCUAUAGUAUCUGUCUGUGUUUGAUAUGCAAUUUCAGUUUACUACUAUUAUCUCAAUAAACCAUUUAAGAAUCAGUGA